rnacentral:rRNA from 1 species
CGCAAGAUUAAAACUCAAAUGAAUUGACGGGGGCCCGCACAAGCGGUGGAGCAUGUGGUUUAAUUCGAUGCAACGCGAAGAACCUUACCUACUCUUGACAUCCAGAGAAUCUAGCGGAGACGCUGGAGUGCCUUCGGGAACUCUGAGACAGGUGCUGCAUGGCUGUCGUCAGCUCGUGUUGUGAAAUGUUGGGUUAAGUCCCGCAACGAGCGCAACCCUUAUCCUUGUUUGCCAGCGAGUAAUGUCGGGAACUCCAGGGAGACUGCCGGUGAUAAACCGGAGGAAGGUGGGGACGACGUCAAGUCAUCAUGGCCCUUACGAGUAGGGCUACACACGUGCUACAAUGGCGCAUACAGAGGGCGGCCAACUUGCGAAAGUGAGCGAAUCCCAAAAAGUGCGUCGUAGUCCGGAUUGGAGUCUGCAACUCGACUCCAUGAAGUCGGAAUCGCUAGUAAUCGUGGAUCAGAAUGCCACGGUGAAUACGUUCCCGGGCCUUGUACACACCGCCCGUCACACCAUGGGAGUGGGCUGCAAAAGAAGUGGGUAGUUUAACCUUCGGGAGGACGCUCA